AGCGGGGCUUAAGGUUAGCGUGUCCAAAGGGUGAGCCGGCGGAGGGUAAGCCGGCGGAGCUUAGAUGGACGAGACCUGAAAAAAGCGUUAUUGCUACUCAAGUCUCAGAUCAACCAACCCAGGAGUAAACUAGAGCUAACAGCAAAUUAUAUGUGGGGUCUAGUCUAGAGGGUUCUCAAGAUCUGUGAGGUGGAGCCUGGAGAGGUCCUUCAGCCAAUGAUUAGGGUGGGUGCAUUUAUUUCAGAUUCAGAUUGCGAAAGGGUCUGAUAAAAGACUGAUCCGAAACUGAGGAGUGGGGGGCACCUCAUAUAGGUUUCCUUCCGGAU
rnacentral:lncRNA from 1 species